GAUGAACGCUGGCGGCGUGCCUAAUACAUGCAAGUCGAGCGAACGGACGAGAAGCUUGCUUCUCUGAUGUUAGCGGCGGACGGGUGAGUAACACGUGGAUAACCUACCUAUAAGACUGGGAUAACUUCGGGAAACCGGAGCUAAUACCGGAUAAUAUUUUGAACCGCAUGGUUCAAAAGUGAAAGACGGUCUUGCUGUCACUUAUAGAUGGAUCCGCGCUGCAUUAGCUAGUUGGUAAGGUAACGGCUUACCAAGGCAACGAUGCAUAGCCGACCUGAGAGGGUGAUCGGCCACACUGGAACUGAGACACGGUCCAGACUCCUACGGGAGGCAGCAGUAGGGAAUCUUCCGCAAUGGGCGAAAGCCUGACGGAGCAACGCCGCGUGAGUGAUGAAGGUCUUCGGAUCGUAAAACUCUGUUAUUAGGGAAGAACAUAUGUGUAAGUAACUGUGCACACCUUGACGGUACCUAAUCAGAAAGCCACGGCUAACUACGUGCCAGCAGCCGCGGUAAUACGUAGGUGGCAAGCGUUAUCCGGAAUUAUUGGGCGUAAAGCGCGCGUAGGCGGUUUUUUAAGUCUGAUGUGAAAGCCCACGGCUCAACCGUGGAGGGUCAUUGGAAACUGGAAAACUUGAGUGCAGAAGAGGAAAGUGGAAUUCCAUGUGUAGCGGUGAAAUGCGCAGAGAUAUGGAGGAACACCAGUGGCGAAGGCGACUUUCUGGUCUGUAACUGACGCUGAUGUGCGAAAGCGUGGGGAUCAAACAGGAUUAGAUACCCUGGUAGUCCACGCCGUAAACGAUGAGUGCUAAGUGUUAGGGGGUUUCCGCCCCUUAGUGCUGCAGCUAACGCAUUAAGCACUCCGCCUGGGGAGUACGACCGCAAGGUUGAAACUCAAAGGAAUUGACGGGGACCCGCACAAGCGGUGGAGUAUGUGGUUUAAUUCGAAGCAACGCGAAGAACCUUACCAAAUCUUGACAUCCUUUGACAACUCUAGAGAUAGAGCCUUCCCCUUCGGGGGACAAAGUGACAGGUGGUGCAUGGUUGUCGUCAGCUCGUGUCGUGAGAUGUUGGGUUAAGUCCCGCAACGAGCGCAACCCUUAAGCUUAGUUGCCAUCAUUAAGUUGGGCACUCUAAGUUGACUGCCGGUGACAAACCGGAGGAAGGUGGGGAUGACGUCAAAUCAUCAUGCCCCUUAUGAUUUGGGCUACACACGUGCUACAAUGGACAAUACAAAGGGCAGCGAAACCGCGAGGUCAAGCAAAUCCCAUAAAGUUGUUCUCAGUUCGGAUUGUAGUCUGCAACUCGACUACAUGAAGCUGGAAUCGCUAGUAAUCGUAGAUCAGCAUGCUACGGUGAAUACGUUCCCGGGUCU
rnacentral:rRNA from 1 species